GGUGGCUCAGUGGUAGAGUGCUUGCCUUGCAUGCACGAGGCCCUGGGUUCGAUUCCUCAGCACCA
rfam:Dipodomys ordii contig_3343, whole genome shotgun sequence.